UACGUAGGGACCAAGCGUUGUUCGGAUUUACUGGGCGUAAAGCGCGCGUAGGCGGCAAUUCAAGUCAUCUGUGAAAUCUCCGGGCUUAACUCGGAAUGGUCAGGUGAUACUGCUUUGCUAGAGUGCAGAAGGGGCAAUCGGAAUUCUUGGUGUAGCGGUGAAAUGCGUAGAUAUCAAGAGGAACACCUGAGGUGAAGACGGGUUGCUGGGCUGAAACUGACGCUGAGGCGCGAAAGCUAGGGGAGCAAACGGG
rnacentral:rRNA from 1 species